UGCAUAUCCAAAAGCGGAGGAAAAGAAACCAACAGGGAUUGCCUCAGUAACGGCGAGUGAAGCGGCAAAAGCUCAAAUUUGAAACCCUCGGGAUUGUAAUUUGAAGAUUUGGCAUUGGAGAAAGCUAACCCAAGUUGCUUGGAAUAGUACGUCAUAGAGGGUGACAACCCCGUCUGGCUAACCGUUCUCCAUGUAUUGCCUUAUCAAAGAGUCGAGUUGUUUGGGAAUGCAGCUCAAAGUGGGUGGUAAACUCCAUCUAAAGCUAAAUACUGGUGAGAGACCGAUAGCGAACAAGUACUGUGAAGGAAAGGUGAAAAGAACUUUGAAAAGAGAGUGAAAUAGUAUGUGAAAUUGUUGAUAGGGAAGGAAAUGAGUGGAGAGUGGCCGAGGUUUCAGCCGCCCCUCGUGGGCGGUGUACUGCCGACGCCGAGUCAUCGAUAGCGAGACGAGGGUUACAAAUGGGAGCGCCUUUCGGGCGUUCUCCCCUAACCCUCCACACUGCCACCGACAACAUAAUCCACCCAUUUCACCCGUCUUGAAACACGGACCA
rnacentral:rRNA from 1 species